AUUGAACGCUGGCGGCAUGCCUUACACAUGCAAGUCGAACGUGAAAGCGGGGCAACCCGCAAGUAGAGUGGCGGACGGGUGAGUAAUACAUCGGAACGUGUCCAGUAAUGGGGGAUAACCUAGCGAAAGUUAGGCUAAUACCGCAUACGAUCUGCGGAUGAAAGCGGGGGAUGCGGCACUAAAGGCUUUUGGCGAAGGUGGCCAAAGGUGAGUCAAGAGCUUUUAGUGCNGCACCUCGCGUUAUUGGAGCGGCUGAUGUCUGAUUAGCUAGUUGGUGAGGUAAGGCUUACCAAGGCGACGAUCAGUAGCUGGUCUGAGAGGACGGCCAGCCACACUGGGACUGAGACACGGCCCAGACUCCUAC
rnacentral:rRNA from 1 species